GGGGGUGUAGCUCAGCUGGGAGAGCACCUGCCUUGCACGCAGGGGGUCAGCGGUUCGAUCCCGCUCAUCUCCACCA
rnacentral:tRNA from 1 species